UGCAGAAAAAGGCAAACUUGUUGAAAAGCAGGGACGCAAAGCCGAGGAUCUAAGGUAAGAAAUUACUAUGAUGGCCGGGCUACCUGG
rnacentral:ncRNA from 1 species